CAGAGUGUGAGGUGGGGGUUUAACACGUUUGUGUACAGAGUGUGAGGUGGGGUUUAACACACGUUUGUGUACAGAGUGUGAGGUGGGGUUUAACACACGUUUGUGUACAGAGUGUGAGGUGGGGUUUAACACGUUUGUGUACAGAGUGUGAGGUGGGGGUUUAACACGUUUGUGUACAGAGUGUGAGGUGGGGGUUUAACACGUUUGUAAAAGUGUUGCUGGCUGUAACACGACUCUCACUGUCACUGAGAUUCACUGCUGAUGAAGACUGAAACUUUUACACCCACCAAUGCACUUCCUCAUUAUGGGUCACACCCACACUAAUAUUGUCUUUAUACCACUAUCUCUGGUUAACACACACACACACACACACACACACACACACACACACAUGCACACACACACAAGAAACCAAACAUGAAUGAAAAUGAUUUAAAAUCGUGAUGGCGUCUACAGUCAGGUCUGUGAGUAAUGAAUUUUCGUAGUGGGAUAAGAAAUGAAGGAAUCGAGCUGUGAUUGAAGUGUAGACUUUCAGCUUUAAUUCAAGGAGUUCAACAUAAAUAUUGCAUCAACAAUUGAGGCGUUAUGGGCAUUUUUUUACAGGCUCAAAAGUAAUUGGACAGGCUAACAUAAUCAUAAAUAUUAGAACUAUUUUUAAUACUUGAAUGCAAAUCUGUUGCAGUCAUUGACCGAUUGAAGUCUGAAAGCCAUGGACAUCGUCAAAUGUUGAGUUUGAGAUGCUUUACCAGGUCUUUACUGCAGCUGCCUUCAGUUGCUGCUUGUUUGUGGGUUUUUCUGCCUGUAGUUUUGUCUUCAGUAAGUGAAAAGCAGCUCAAGGGGGUGAGGUCAGGUGAUUGACGCUGCCAUUUAAGAACAUACCAUUUCUUUGCCUUAAGAAGCUCUUGGGAUUCUUUCGCAGUACGUUUCGGGAGGUCGUUUUCCAUCUGUACUGUGAAGCGCCGUCCUGUUUCAGUUUUGCAGGAUUCGACUGAAUCUGAGCAGAACGUAUAUCUCGAUACACUACAGAAUUCAUCCUGCUCCUUCUAUCAGCACUCACAUCAUCAGUAAACACCACUGACCCAGUUCCACUGGCAGCAGGGUCUGAAAUUCAGUUUUUCCUCCACCUGCCACAGUGGCUGGUAAAUAUUCAUUUUUACUGUUUGAUAUGAACAAAAAGUUAUUUUUUUACAUUAGCUAAUCUGACCCUCCAAUAAACUAUUAUCUGUGUGCGGGUCGACUGGCUAUUUGUAUUAAAAUUUUAGAAAUUUUAGCAAUAAGGCAUGUAAUGAUUCACACGUUCAGGUUAAGUCAGAGAAUUUCACUGUGCUGAAAUACAUAUGUGAUCAAUAAAAGCUUCUUCCUCUUCUUCAGCUAUCGAAUGCAAAUUCAACUCCAGGCCUUUUAUCUCCUUAAUUUGUCAUGGAAUAACGAGGAAACAGGCCACACCUGGCCAUGAAACACCUGGCCAUGGAACACCUGGCCAUGGAACAUCAGUCAAUUGUCCAAUUACUUUUCAGUCUGUAAAAAUGGAGGGACUCUGUAAAAAAUGCUGUAAUUCUUAAAUGGUUAAUGUAAUAUUUUUGCUGAACCCCUUGAAUUAAAUCUGUAAGUCUACACUUCAA
ensembl:lncRNA